GCAGAGGGCCUUCAGAGGACUUUUCAUGGCAGUGGGACUUGCAGCUGCCAAUUUCACUACUGGACACCAUGGCUGCCUUGCUCAUCUAUUUCCUGGGCUUGUGGAACUGAACAGAGGUUCUGAUUAUGUGCUUCUAAUGGGAUUAUUGUUCGAGAAAAAUGAGGCGAGACUACACACAAAAAUCACAAAAAGAGGAGAAAAGGGGCAGAUGAAAGAAGAGGAUGUCAUUUCACCUUUUAUCCCCCCUCCAUAAUUCAACCCCGUCCCCCCCCACACACACACAUACACACACGCCAAUCUCAGUUUCCUUCAUGUUUCAGCUAAGGAGAUACACAUGUGGCUAGCCACCAGGGAAGAUGGUGCACUGAACCUGUUGCUCUCCCUCCAACCAAGCCAAUUAGUUAGUUUUAGCCUGUUUAAUUUUGCCGGAGCUCUGUUUGAAGCCAAGAUUUUUUAGUAUUAGAAUGUCUAGGAAAGGUGUACAGCGAAAAGGAAAGGGAAUUAGAGCUUAUUUGGAUGAAGCAAAGAUAGCUGGAGCGAUGCCUCAGUCCAGUAAUGAGGAGGAAGAUAUGGAGGAUGUGGAAGAAUUACAGGAGUAUUGCUCCAAAGCCUCCUCAAAUCUUGGAUGAGGUCUGGAGGCUGAUUUAAUUGAAGGUUUGAUAAAACAGCUCAAAAAGGAAUUGAAAACAGAAUGGGACAAACCCAUUGCAAUGAUAAGGUAUGACUUGGCAGGUAUGUCUGAACAAAUUAGCAAUCAAUUAAAGGAAUUGUUUCAACAAAUUUCAGACAUUGCUCAGACUGCUGGUAAGGCUCAUGAUAUGGCUAUGCAAAAUGCAUCAGAUAUAAGUAAAGUCUUUAAAGAUAUUUCUGAAAUCAAGACGGACUCGGCUGAUGUUCAAGAUCACAAUACAAGAAAUAAUAUAAGGAUAAAAGGAAUGAGAGAGAGUAUGGGGAAAGCUGAUUUAAUUGGAUAUCGCAUUCCUAAGUUGAAUCUUCUAUUGCUGGACCUAAAGAUUACGGAUAAAGACACUGAACGAGCUCAUCGAGUGUUUUCUCCUAGGUCAUUGCAGCAACCAAGAGACAUUAUUGUGAGAUUUAUUAGUGCUGGCAUAAGAGAUAGAAUUAUGAAUAAAGUGUGUGAGGUGGAAGAGAUUAAUUGGGUUGGAAGCAAA